CGGAGGAUCCAAGCGUUAUCCGGAAUUAUUGGGCGUAAAGGGCUUGUAGGCGGUUUGUUACGUCGGAAGUGAAAACUCAGGGCUCAACCCUGAGCCUGCUUCCGAUACGGACAAACUAGAGGAAUACAGGGGGAGAAUGGAAUUCCUGGUGGAGCGGUGGAAUGCGCAGAUAUCAGGAGGAACACCGGUGGCGAAGGCGGUUCUCUGGGCAUUUCCUGACGCUGAGAAGCGAAAGCGUGGGGAGCAAACAGGCUUAGAUACCCUGGUAGUCCACGCCGUAAACGGUGGGCACUAGGUGUGGGGAACAUUCCACGUUCUCCGUGCCGAAGCUAACGCAUUAAGUGCCCCGCCUGGGGAGUACGGCCGCAAGGCUA
rnacentral:rRNA from 1 species